AACGAACGCUGGCGGCAGGCUUAACACAUGCAAGUCGAGCGCCCCGCAAGGGGAGCGGCAGACGGGUGAGUAACGCGUGGGAAUCUACCUAUCUCUACGGAACAACUCCGGGAAACUGGAGCUAAUACCGUAUACGCCCUUCGGGGGAAAGAUUUAUCGGGGAUAGAUGAGCCCGCGUUGGAUUAGCUAGUUGGUGGGGU
rnacentral:rRNA from 1 species